UUCCGGUUGAUCCCGCCGGACCCGACUGCUAUCAGAGUGAGAUUAAGCCAUGCGAGUUAACGUAGCAAUACGUGGCGCACGGCUCAGUAACACGUAGUCAACAUGCCCAGAGGACGUGGAUAACCUCGGGAAACUGAGCCUAAACCGCGAUAAGUGAGGAUUUCUGGAAUGGUUCCUGACUAAAAUCUAUAUGGCCUCUGGAUUGGACUGCGGCCGAUCAGGCUGUUGGUGAGGUAAUGGCCCACCAAACCUGUAACCGGUACGGGCUCUGAGAGGAGGAGCCCGGAGAUGGGCACUGAGACAAGGGCCCAGGCCCUAUGGGGCGCAGCAGGCGCGAAACCUCUGCAAUAGGCGAGAGCCUGACAGGGUUACUCUGAGUGAUUUCCGCUAAGGGGAUCUUUUGGCACCUCUAAAAAUGGUGCAGAAUAAGGGGUGGGCAAGUCUGGUGUCAGCCGCCGCGGUAAUACCAGCACCCCGAGUGGUCGGGACGAUUAUUGGGCCUAAAGCAUCCGUAGCCGGUUCUGCAAGUCUUCCGUUAAAUCCAGCCGCUCAACGGAUGGGCCGCGGAGGAUACUAUAGGACUAGGAGGCGGGAGAGGCAAGCGGUACUCAGUGGGUAGGGGUAAAAUCCUUUGAUCCAUUGAAGACCACCAGUGGCGAAGGCGGCUUGCCAGAACGCGCUCGACGGUGAGGGAUGAAAGCUGGGGGAGCAAACCGGAUUAGAUACCCGGGUAGUCCCAG
rnacentral:rRNA from 1 species